rnacentral:rRNA from 1 species
AUGCACGCUGGCGGCGUGCCUCAUCCCUGCCAGUCGAGCGAACAGACGAGGAGCUUGCUCCUCUGACGUUAGCGGCGGACGGGUGAGUAACCCGUGGAUAACCUACCUAUAAGACUGGGAUAACUUCGGGAAACCGGAGCUAAUACCGGAUAAUAUAUUGAACCGCAUGGUUCAAUAGUGAAAGACGGUUUUGCUGUCACUUAUAGAUGGAUCCGCGCCGCAUUAGCUAGUUGGUAAGGUAACGGCUUACCAAGGCAACGAUGCGUAGCCGACCUGAGAGGGUGAUCGGCCACACUGGAACUGAGACACGGUCCAGACUCCUACGGGAGGCAGCAGUAGGGAAUCUUCCGCAAUGGGCGAAAGCCUGACGGAGCAACGCCGCGUGAGUGAUGAAGGUCUUCGGAUCGUAAAACUCUGUUAUUAGGGAAGAACAAAUGUGUAAGUAACUAUGCACGUCUUGACGGUACCUAAUCAGAAAGCCACGGCUAACUACGUG